AGAGUCUGUGUCACCAUGGCCUGGAUUCCUGUCCUUCUCAUGCUCCUGUCUCACUGCACAGGAUCUUUGUCCCAGCCUGUGCUGACCCAGCCGUCCUCACUCUCUGCAUCUCCGGGAACAACAGCCAGACUCACCUGCACCUUGAGCAGUGGCUUCAGUGUUGGCAGCUAUACCAUAUACUGGUACCAGCAGAAGCCAGGGACCCCUCCCCGGUAUCUCCUGUACUACUCCUCAAGUACCCAGCUGGGACCUGGGAUUCCCAGUCACUUCUCUGGCUCCAAGGACACCUCGGCCAAUGCAGGGCUUCUGCUCAUCUCUGGGCUGCAGCCUGAAGACGAGGCUGACUAUUACUGUGCAGUCUGGCACAGUGGUGCUGGAAUACGUUCUGCUAUUUGUGACAACAAGGGUUGA